rnacentral:rRNA from 1 species
GUGCCAGCAGCCGCGGUAAUACGUAGGGCGCGAGCGUUUGUCCGGAAUUUAUUGGGCGUAAAGAGCUUGUAGGCGGUUGGUCGCGUCCUGCUGUGAAAGGCUGGGGCUUAACCCUGGUUUUGCAGUGGGUACGGGCUAACUAGAGUGCAGUAGGGGAGACUGGAAUUUCCUGGUGUAGCGGUGGAAUGCGCAGAUAUCAGGAGGAACACCGAUGGCGAAGGCAGGUCUCUGGGCUGUAACUGACGCUGAGAAGCGAAAGCAUGGGGAGCGAACAGGAUUAGAUACCCUGGUAGUCC